GGCCUCCCAAUUCUUACCACAGGCUAUGUUCUUCUUUACACUGACUGUAUAGAAAGAGGAGGUACAGUAAAUGCACCCAGUAAACACCUCAAUUCAGGCCCUUUGCCUGGUCUGUAUUGUGAAUUGGGGUAGAAAA